rfam:Pseudomonas sp. MF4836 contig001, whole genome shotgun sequence.
UGUUAUGGCGACUGUGCGUGGGACACCUUCGGGUGUGCCGGGAUGCUUAGGCCCGGUCGGCCAACCCGCGUACAGUUGCCACCCUG